GAUUAGUGUUGGUGCUAGUAUAAAUAGGUGGGGGUGUGUGUAGAGAAGACAAAUCCUUUUUUUUCUUUCUCUCUCUCUCUCUCCACUCUCCCGGCCGGCUCUCUCUCACCUCUCCUCCAAACUUCUCUCUUUGAUUUCAUCUCCAUAGAAAGGGAUUUUGAAAAAAUCCCUAGUAUUAAAGUUGUUCUACGCGACGAGAGCUUCCUAUCCAUCCAAGAAAAUUCAUGAUCGGAGCACGUCGAAGUUUCCUCCAUGUUCGGGCAAGCUUCUAACCUUCGAGGUACUCGCCAUGACACUUAGCUUGGAUUGCAUGGAGUGCACAUUGAGACGUCUCUUGAGAGCUUCAUUGGGAUCAUUAAGGAGUUGUUUUUCAUCUAGUCUAAUUCACGCUGUGUACUUUACCCGCAAUUGAAUGUUGUACCUUUUGUUUGAACAUAUGUAAUGCUAUGUAUAAACUCCUCUCUUUAAUUAUUGUGAAGCCCUUUAAAUGGAAUACGUUUGGGAGACUUUAUGUUUUAAAAAAAAAAAUUUAGAGAGAAGAAGAAGAAGA